GGGAUGUGCACGCCCCUCAGAGCAGCCUCCCUCCAGAAGGCACACAGAGAGCCCCCCCCCGGUGGAACCAAAGAUUUCCAUGAUCCUGUGUUGGUGUCUUCCUGGGUCAAGGAGGUCACUGAGUGGCUCUGGGUGUUACUGAAGUGCCCUCUCACCUACAAGUCGUGCACUGUGGCUAUUACCUGACUGGACAGAGAAGAAAAUAAGAAAUAUAGUUGAAGAGAUGAAACUGGUUUUUUGGAGGAUCCUUGGAGUGUUGGGGAAAUAAAGCCGAAAGAGUGCAACAAAAGACCCCUCUAUAUCAACAUGAUUCAAUAUUGGGCAAGUAUUAUCAGUGAUAACAUGGAUGUGAGCUAAAGUGACUACAAAAUUUGGAGAGAAUUUCACACAAAUUAUUCAGAAAGUAGAAGAGAGGAAAAUGAAAACUUCUCUGUGUGGAAGAUAAGAGAGUGUACCUUGUGGUGGUCUCAUUAUACCCACCAGAGACGGACCUCUGAGCUGACUCCAGAGGAAGUUUUUAGUUUCAAGGGUCAGAAGGCCCAAGACUUUGCUUGGUAAGAUCAAAGGGUUAAACCAUUUGUAUCAAGUCUGCUGUGUCCUCAAGGUGGACACUCUGAAGAGCAGAGGACACAUAUGCAGGAACCUUCUUCCUCAAAGAAAACUCAUCAUCUUACCCUUAUAGUUUGCCAAGUAAUUUUUUCCAAAGACCUUUCUGUAGUCCACCUCAAAUAAAUAAUGUGUGAGAAUUCCAUCGUGUAAUGAGAAUAAAGUCAAGAUAAUACAUUACAGGCAUUUGUGAUUUUUCCCAGUCCCUCCCAUAUUCCCCCGAGUCCUAACUCCUGUGUCUCUAGCCAAGAGGGUGGCUGAGUGUGCCACCGCCAUGCCCAGGCUCUCAUAACACAUGAUCAGUGGCCCAGAAGAGUGGGGGUCACCCGGAAGAGCAAGAAUGCAUACCAAGACUCAAAGGGCUGUCUUUAAUGGCUAGAAGGAAGAAGCAAUAGAAAUCAAAGGAAUAGGAAAGAAAAGUGAGACCAAAAACCACAAAGGAUGGAGUUCAGAGAGAAUUUUUGGCGAUAAUUUUGAGACUGGGCUUUGAGUCCCCUGUAGCCUUGAGACUUGGAGAGAGGGAGCUGGGGCCUGGGGGGAGAAGUGUUAUUAUGGGUUAUGUGUUGAAUCCCAUUCAGUAUUCUUCAAGUUAGGCAAACAAAAGAUUCACAUGACAUUUGAAGAUUUAUUCAUUUUAGAGAGAGAGAGAGAGAGUGUGUGUGAGCAAGCAGGAGGAGGGGCAGAGGGAGAGGGAGAACCUCAAGUAUACUCCUGCUAAGUUUGGAGUUGGAUGCAGGGCUUGAUGCAGGGCUCACUCUCAGGACUCCGAGGUCAUGACCUGAGUUGAGAUAAAAAGUCAGAUGCCCAAUUGACUAAGUGACUCAGGUGCCCCUCAAACGAUAUUUAAAUGGCCUUUGAUGGCUGAACUAAUUUUUGAAUGUGGAGUGGGAAGCCCUGUAGGGCCUGGGUUGGGUUACCCCUUACUGAAGACUCAGAGGAAUGUUGACCUUGAGGGUGAUAUGAAAUCAGUGAAAAUCAUCCAAAACUUCUUUGCUGAGCACCAACUGUAGUUGUAGCAUGGAGGAAGGAACAAAAUAGUAUAAGAUAUGGCCAAGCUUAUGAGGCUCUUAUAUUUGGAUAAAUAAAACUUUUCUAUAAACAGUUAAGUAAUAACAUACCACCAAAAGGGAUGCCAAAAGACUAGGAGGGCUGCUGAGUUGGUAGGAGGAACCACUAGUGGUAUAUCGGGCCCUUUCCUAGAACUGAGUAUCUAUUUUUCCUUAAUCUAUUUUUUAAGCUUGCCUCCCCCAUAUUGCAAUAAUUUUCUUAAACUUUAAGAGUUUGCAAUUCCAACCAUAUAUAUCAAACAAAAACACCAUUUUUAGGGGAAAAAAACGGAAAAAGUACUCAGGCUUUAUUAGUAAUUUUUCUGAUAGAUGGUUCUCUAUGUAAUCUUUUUUUUCCCCACUUUUGUGAAUUUGCCAUUUUUUCUAAAACGAAUACUUAUUGCAUUUAAAUUAAUAUUUUAAGCCCUUAUUUUAGAACUGUAAAUGUAAUAAUGAUAAAAU
rnacentral:lncRNA from 1 species